rnacentral:rRNA from 1 species
GAUGAACGCUGGCGGCGUGCCUAAUACAUGCAAGUCGAGCGAACAGAUGAGGAGCUUGCUCCUCUGACGUUAGCGGCGGACGGGUGAGUAACACGUGGAUAACCUACCUAUAAGACUGGGAUAACUUCGGGAAACCGGAGCUAAUACCGGAUAAUAUAUUGAACCGCAUGGUUCAAUAGUGAAAGACGGUUUUGCUGUCACUUAUAGAUUGAUCCGCGCCGCAUUAGCUAGUUGGUAAGGUAACGGCUUACCAAGGCGACGAUGCGUAGCCGACCUGAGAGGGGGAUCGGCCACCCUGGAACUGAGACACGGUCCAGACUCCUACGGGAGGCAGCAGUAGGGAAUCUUCCGCAAUGGGCGAAAGCCUGACGGAGCAACGCCGCGUGAGUGAUGAAGGUCUUCGGAUCGUAAAACUCUGUUAUUAGGGAAGAACAAAUGUGUAAGUAACUAUGCACGUCUUGACGGUACCUAAUCAGAAAGCCACGGCUAACUACGUG